GGCUUCGUAGCUCAGCUGGUAGAGUGCUUGCCGUAUUGAGGCAUGGUGUUUAUGUCGCUGGUUCGAAUGCAGCCGAAGCCC
rnacentral:tRNA from 1 species